rnacentral:misc_RNA from 1 species
GAUGAAGAACGUAGCGAAAUGCGAUAAGUAAUGUGAAUUGCAGAAUUCAGUGAAUCAUCGAAUCUUUGAACGCACAUUGCGCCCCUUGGUAUUCCGAGGGGCAUGCCUAUUCGAGCGUCAUUAUCACCCCUCAAGCCUAGCUUGGUGUUGAGGCCUGCUGUCAAGGCAGCCUCUAAAAUCAGUGGCAGUGCUGUCAGGCCCUAAGCGUAGUAAAUCUAAUCGCUAUAGACACCUGGUGGACACUCGCCAGAACCCCCCCAUUUUUUAAUGAUUGACCUCGGAUUAGGUAGGGAUACCCGCUGAACUUAAGCAUAUCAAUAAGCGGAGGA